rnacentral:rRNA from 1 species
CUACGGGGGGCACCAGUGGGGAAUAUUGCACAAUGGAGGAAACUCUGAUGCAGCAACGCCGCGUGGAGGAUGACACUUUUCGGAGCGUAAACUCCUUUUAUAUAGGAAGAAGAUGACGGUACUAUAUGAAUAAGCGCCGGCUAACUCCGUGCCAGCAGCCGCGGUAAUACGGAGGGCGCAAGCGUUACUCGGAAUCACUGGGCGUAAAGAGCGUGUAGGCGGAUUAAAAAGUCAGAAGUGAAAUCCUAUAGCUUAACUAUAGAACUGCUUCUGAAACUCUUAAUCUAGAAUAUGGGAGAGGUAGGUGGAAUUUCUGGUGUAGGGGUAAAAUCCGUAGAGAUCAGAAGGAAUACCGAUUGCGAAGGCGAUCUACUAGAACAUUAUUGACGCUGAGACGCGAAAGCGUGGGGAGCAAACAGGAUUAGAUACCCUGGUAGUC